GGAAAAGAAACUAACAAGGAUUCCCCUAGUAACGGCGAGUGAAGCGGGAUGAGCUCAAAUUUGUAAUCUGGUGGACUCAGUUCAUCCGAGUUGUAAUCUAUAGAAAAGUUUUCCGCGCCGGACCGUGUCUAAGUCCCUUGGAACAGGGUGUCAGAGAGGGUGAGAAUCCCGUGCUUGAUACGACCACCGGUGCUAUGUGAUACUUUUUCAACGAGUCGAGUUGUUUGGGAAUGCAGCUCAAAAUGGGUGGUAAAUUCCAUCUAAAGCUAAAUAUUGGCGAGAGACCGAUAGCGAACAAGUACCGUGAGGGAAAGAUGAAAAGCACUUUGGAAAGAGAGUUAAACAGUACGUGAAAUUGUUAAAAGGGAAACGAUUGAAGUCAGUCGUGCUCUCUGGGACUCAGCCGGUUCUUCCGGUGUAUUUCCCAGUGAGCGGGUCAACAUCAGUUUAGAUCGCUGGAUAAGGUCAUUAGGAAUGUGGCUCCCUCGGGAGUGUUAUAGCCUAGUGUCGCAUACAGUGGUUUAGACUGAGGAACGCAGCUCGCCUUUAUGGCCGGGGUUCGCCCACGUCCGAGCUUAGGAUGUUGACAUAAUGGCUUUAAACGACCCG
rnacentral:rRNA from 1 species